rnacentral:rRNA from 1 species
ACUUAACUGAAGAGUUUGAUCAUGGCUCAGAUUGAACGCUGGCGGCAGGCCUAACACAUGCAAGUCGAGCGGAUGAGAGGAGCUUGCUCCUCGAUUCAGCGGCGGACGGG